AGAUUGAACGCUGGCGGCAGGCCUAACACAUGCAAGUCGAGCGGUAGAGAGGUGCCUGCAUCUCUUGAGAGCGGCGGACGGGUGAGUAAUGCCUAGGAAUCUGCCUAGUGGUGGGGGAUAACGUUCGGAAACGACGCUAAUACCGCAUACGUCCUACGGGAGAAAGCGGGGACCUUCGGGCCUCGCGCCAUUAGAUGAGCCUAGGUCGGAUUAGCUAGUUGGUGAGGUAAUGGCUCACCAAGGCGACGAUCCGUAACUGGUCUGAGAGGAUGAUCAGUCACACGUGGAACUGAGACACGGUCCAGACUCCUACGGGAGCAGCAGGUAGGGAAUACGUGGAACAAGUGGGGAC
rnacentral:rRNA from 1 species